GACGAACGCUGGCGGCGUGCUUAACACAUGCAAGUCGAACGGAAAGGCCCUGCUUGCCGGGUACUCGAGUGGCGAACGGGUGAGUAACACGUGGGUGAUCUGCCCUGCACUUCGGGAUAAGCCUGGGAAACUGGGUCUAAUACCGGAUAGGAGCCAUUUUUAGUGUGAUGGUUGGAAAGUUUUUUCGGUGUAGGAUGAGCUCGCGGCCUAUCAGCUUGUUGGUGGGGUAAUGGCCUACCAAGGCGGCGACGGGUAGCCGGCCUGAGAGGGUGGACGGCCACAUGGAGAGAGGGUGGAGGCGCAGGCUGGUGGGAGAGGGAGCAGGGAGGAAGCGUGGGUGGUGGCGAGGAUGGUGGUGGGGGGACGGCGCGUGGGGGAUGCGGGCCUUGGUGUUGUGAAGGCGUGAGGCUGGGGAGGAUUAUUGUGGUGUAGGUAGGAAGAAACGAAGCAGCGGGUACAUAAGUGGCAGCUGGCGAGGAAAUAGAGAGGAAAAGCCCGCGUCAGAAC
rnacentral:rRNA from 1 species